CAGCGCCACAAGUGGGAAUCACAUUUAUUGGGCCUAAAGCGUUCGUAGCCGGUUUGGUAAAUCUUUUGUUAAAUCGCAGAGCUCAACUCUGCGGCGUGCAGAGGACACUGCUAAACUAGGGACCGGGAGGAGUCAGAGGUAUGCUGAGGGGAGCGGUAAAAUGCUAUAAUCCUCGGUAGACCACCUGUGGCGAAGGCGUCUGACUAGAACGGAUUCGACGGUGAUUGGACGAAAGUCAGGGGAGCAAUCCGGAUUAGAUACCCGAGUAGUCC
rnacentral:rRNA from 1 species